AUAUUGCAGAGCUGCAAAGCAAAAUUAACCAUUUAAAUAUUGGAGGGAAUGGGCACAGGGGAGGCCUCUCCUAAAACCCUUCCUGACCAUGCUGAAAAGAAAGCCAGUGUGAAAGAGUGAGGAUGCUGGGAGAGGAGAAAGAGCAGAAGAGCCGAUGCUGAGAUAAUUUUAGUCCAAAAACAAUGAGAUACAGUGUUGUAGAAAAACACAAGAAUGCAGAACUACUACUACAUAUCUGAACUGGUGAUGGAGUCAACGUGAUCAAGAAACUCAAGCACAAACGUUUUUAAAGAGCCUUUUGUUUUAUUUUCCUAUCAAUGUGUUGUCUUUCUCCUGAAUAGAGAACUUGGAGAAAAUAUUCAUGGCUUUGUCACAACAUUAACAAAUUACACUCGAAAGUAUAAGAAAAAGUACUUUUGAGUUGUGAACUAGAGUGAAGCAGGUUCAAGACAGAAAGAGAACUAGAGGACUGACAGUCUCUAAGGUGCCUACACUUAGACACGAACCACCCCACCUAGCAUGACAGACAUGUUUCCUGGAGGCAGACAGACAGCAGAUCUUUGCACAGUACUGCCAUGGCUCAAGACCUCAAGUUACACUUACAACUGUUAGGAACUCAGUCUUUGGCUGUCUACCUUUCAUUCAUUGUUUUCUGCCUGCAAAGUCAAUGGUUCGCAUCAUUCAUGAUGUAUCUUGGUUUAACCUCCCCAAAAUUGCUGACCAAAUUGGUGAAUUUUAACCCAUUGUUUCGUCCCAGUAAGCCACAGUUUCUUCCACUGGAAAUGGGAAUGAUAAAGCUAGCAACUUUUAAUCUUGAGCAUAAAUACAAAUAACACACAUAAAAUACAAGAUACAAAUGGAUCCAGGCUCCAAAAUGAGGUGAGAUCCCACACCAGUUGCACCAAUGACUUCUUGUGAGCCUGGACUGGUAGUCACUGAAGUUCUUGGUGCCUUGGCUGCAAAUGGUAAAUAAUUAAAACAUCUACCUCUUCAGGUGAGUUAUGAUUGUCCAUUGUUUGUACAAUACUUUGAAGACACAUAAUGAAAUUUUUAUCUCGUUUGAUUUAAAAUUUGAAAAUGCUAAUAUGAAAAUGCUGGUAUGCAAAAUGGGUAACACUAAACGAUGAAGACCAUAUAUUAGAAAC